UACGUAGGGUGCGAGCGUUGUCCGGAAUUAUUGGGCGUAAAAGAGCUCGUAGGCGGUGUGUCACGUCGGCCGUGAAAACCUGGGGCUUAACUCUGGGCGUGCGGUCGAUACGGGCAUCACUAGAGUUCGGCAGGGGAGACUGGAAUUCCUGGUGUAGCGGUGAAAUGCGCAGAUAUCAGGAGGAACACCGGUGGCGAAGGCGGGUCUCUGGGCCGAUACUGACGCUGAGGAGCGAAAGCAUGGGUAGCGAACAGG
rnacentral:rRNA from 1 species